rnacentral:rRNA from 2 species
UGAGGGGGGCUGCUCCUAGUACGAGAGGACCGGAGUGGACGCAUCACUGGUGUUCGGGUUGUCAUGCCAAUGGCACUGCCCGGUAGCUAAAUGCGGAAAAGAUAAGUGCUGAAAGCAUCUAAGCACGAAACUUGCCCCGAGAUGAGUCUUCCCUGAGACCUUGAGUCUCCUGAAGGAACGUUAAAGACGAUGACGUUGAUAGGCCGGGUGUGUAAGCGCAGCGAUGCGUUGAGCUAACCGGUACUAAUGAACCGUGAGGCUUAACCUUACAACGCCGAAG